rnacentral:misc_RNA from 1 species
GAUGAAGAACGCAGCGAAAUGCGAUAAGUAAUGUGAAUUGCAGAAUUCAGUGAAUCAUCGAAUCUUUGAACGCACAUUGCGCCCGCCAGUAUUCUGGCGGGCAUGCCUGUUCGAGCGUCAUUUCAACCCUCAAGCCCCAGUGGCCUGGUGUUGGGGACCGGCGACCUCGCCCGGGGACACCUCGCGUGCUCCCCCGGUGCGUCCGCCGCCCCCGAAAUGAAUUGGCGGCCCCGUCGCGGCCUCCUCUGCGUAGUAGCACAACCUCGCAGCGGGAGCGCGACGCGGCCACUGCCGUAAAACGCCCAACUUUUUUAGAGUUGACCUCGGAUCAGGUAGGAAUACCCGCUGAACUUAAGCAUAUCAAUAAGCGGAGGA